rnacentral:rRNA from 1 species
AGUGAACGCUGGCGGCAGGCCUAACACAUGCAAGUCGAGCGGAGAGGCGGACGGGGGAGUAAUGACUAGGAAUCUGCCUGGUAGUGGGGGAGAACGUCCGGAAACGGGCGCUAAUGCCGAAUACUAGCAGAUGAGCCUAGGUCGGAUUAGCUAGUUGGUGGGGGAAAGGCCUACCAAGGCGACGAUCCGUAACUUGUCUGAGAGGAUGAUCAGCCACACUGGAACUGAGACACGGUCCAGACUCCUACGGGAGGCAGCAGUGGGGAAUAUUGGACAAUGGGCGAAAGCCUGAUCCAGCCAUGCCGCGUGUGUGAAGAAGGUCUUCGGAUUGUAAAGCACUUUCAGUUGGGAGGCGUUACCCACAGAAUAAGCACCGGCUAACUUCGUGCCAGCAGCCGCGGUAAUAC